GACCGAAAAACAAAUGAAAAAUG
rnacentral:rRNA from 1 species